rnacentral:lncRNA from 1 species
CCAUAUUUCGGGCCUAUAUUUUUACCCAAACCCUCCCAUAUUUCGGGCGGGCCGUCGGGCCGGGCCGGGCCACCCGGCCCAUGAGCACCUCUACUUAAGACACCUAACUAUAGUUGACAUUUUAAUGAAAAGUUCUUUUUUGAGAAAUAAAAAAUGAAAAGUUAUAGUUGAAACUUUUUUUCAAUAAAAAAUGCAACAAUUUUAUUUGACUAUAUGUUGAUUAAAAAAAAAUCAAAAGGAAUAAGGAAAAAAAAAGGGAAGGAAAGGGAAGAAGAAAGAAAAAAAGUCUUGUAUUUUUUAUGUUUUUUUGGGUGUAAUUAUCAUAUUCAAGGCAUUAUAAGAC